UACGUAGGCAGCGAGCGUUGUUCGGAAUUACUGGGCGUAAAGAGUGUGUAGGCGGUGCUCCCAGUCUGUUGUGAAAUCUCCCGGCUUAACUGGGAGGGUGCAGCGGAAACUAGAGUGCUAGAGGGUGGGAGAGGUAAGCGGAAUUCCUGGUGUAGCGGUGAAAUGCGUAGAUAUCAGGAGGAACACCAAUUGCGAAGGCAGCUCGCUGGGACGUCACUGACGCUGAGACGCGAAAGCGUGGGGAGCAAACAGG
rnacentral:rRNA from 1 species